GACGAACCGUGCGAACGUUGUUCGGAAUCACUGGGCUUAAAGGGUGCGUAGGCGGGCUCGAAAGUCAGGGGUGAAAUCCCACGGCUCAACCGUGGAAGGGCCUUUGAUACUACGAGUCUCGAGGGAGGUAGGGGCGUGCGGAACUUCCGGUGGAGCGGUGAAAUGCGUAGAUAUCGGAAGGAACACCGGUGGCGGAAGCGGCGCGCUGGACCUCAACUGACGCUGAGGCGCGAAAGCGUGGGGAGCAAACGGG
rnacentral:rRNA from 1 species